CCCUGUAUGUUGCUCCGUCCAUUACUAAUACUGCCCAACUUCUAUAGGGCCACAUUACUUGUACACGAUACUGGCCCUCUGUAAAUAACGUCUCCUAUGCCGUAUAUUUUUUUACUUUGUUAGGAAAUUUGUAUAUUUGUUACAUUUAUCACUGGAAUACCUUAAACAUCAUGAUGAAAGCAUAUUUUGUUAAUCAUCGACUUCGACGCACUCAGGAAUACUGGCCGUUCUCCUGGACACGCGGGGAAUCAUCGGUGGUGGAAUCACAGAGCCUAUGAACCGUAUGGCUCCCGGCUAAUAAAGAACCUGGGGAGGGACCGAGGAUCUUCCACUCUGGAUUCCGGAUGUGACGUUAGACUAUCAUUACACCGAUAUAAACAUUGUAUGUCAUGAUGCUGUUCCGCAACUUGAUGCUCAUCAGCGGCGUUUCUAGGAUAUUUGAAAGAGGGGGAAAUUUUUUGGACCUUUUUUUUGAUAAAAAAAACAUA